rnacentral:misc_RNA from 1 species
GGAAUCUUGCGCAAUGGGCGAAAGCCUGACGCAGCAACACCGUGUGAGCGACGAAGGCCUUCGGGUCGUAAAGCUCUGUUGUUGGGGACGAAGGGUUAGGGGUUAAUAGCCCCGAGCCUGACGGUACCCUUCGAGGAAGCCCCGGCUAACUACGUGCCAGCAGCCGCGGUAAUACGUAGGGGGCGAGCGUUGUCCGGAAUUAUUGGGCGUAAAGAGCGUGUAGGCGGUUUGGUAAGUCUGCCGUGAAAACCUGGGGCUCAACCCCGGGCGUGCGGUGGAUACUGCCAAGCUAGAGGGUGGUAGAGGCGAGUGGAAUUCCCGGUGUAGCGGUGAAAUGCGCAGAUAUCGGGAGGAACACCAGUAGCGAAGGCGGCUCGCUGGGCCAUACCUGACGCUGAGACGCGAAAGCGUGGGGAGCAAACAGGA